GACGAACGCUGGCGGCGUGCUUAACACAUGCAAGUCGAACGGAAAGGCCCUGCUUUUGUGGGGUGCUCGAGUGGCGAACGGGUGAGUAACACGUGAGUAACCUGCCCUUGACUUUGGGAUAACUUCAGGAAACUGGGGCUAAUACCGGAUAGGAGCUCCUGCUGCAUGGUGGGGGUUGGAAAGUUUCGGCGGUUGGGGAUGGACUCGCGGCUUAUCAGCUUGUUGGUGGGGUGGUGGCUUACCAAGGCUUUGACGGGUAGCCGGCCUGAGAGGGUGACCGGCCACAUUGGGCCUGGGCUACGGCCCAGACUCCUACGGGAGGCAGCAGUGGGGAAUAUUGCACAAUGGGCGGAAGCCUGAUGCAGCAACGCCGCGUGCGGGAUGACGGCAUUCGGGUUGUAAACCGCUUUCGCCUGUGACGAAGCGUGAGUGACGGUAAUGGGUAAAGAAGCACCGGCUAACUACGUG
rnacentral:rRNA from 1 species